rnacentral:sRNA from 1 species
UUAUAAAGGUCAUUUUUCGUACAAAGUAUUUACGAAUCUAAUCGGUUUUAGUGGUUUUUGCUUCCUAGCCAUGAAAACCGGAUUUAAACGGAUGAGUAUACAGAACAUAAAACUCAAUGGCUCUUCCCAAACCCAAUGCAUUUCAAAUUUUCUUGUUUUCUUGCAUACAUCUUAUAUUCUCAAUCUUAAUUUGGUAACUGAAUAAUGAUCUUUUCUUACAAAAUUUCUCAUAGAAAAUUCAGGAAAUUGUUUCUACUUGGGAGAGCGACAUCAAAUAUGGCAUUACUCAAGCUCGGUAUGUACAAGACUUGGUGGAUGUUGCUACUCCGUCAUUUCUUCUAAGCCGCUAGCAUCAAAACGAGUUUCGAGCUCCCUCUCUUGGAGCAGUGAUUGGAGAAGUUGAUGAUGUGCAAUGUGGACCUUACACUCUUACUCUGUAUUGGCGAGUAAAGAUCUGUGGUAUCCAUAUUAUUGGGUAAUGACUAUGCUCAUGACAUACGUUAUCAUCCCAAGAGCACACAACUCCACGGUUUAGCAAUGAAGAUGGAUAUGCUAGAGGAUGAAAUGAGCCUUUGCAAAGUCAUGAUGCUCUAUUUAGCAGAGGGACGAUCGCUAGAGUUAAUAGAGAAUAUAUUCAGAUCUUCCAAAACGAAAGGAAGAGUGAUAUAUAACACCAUGAUCUCGGUGUAUGGAAAACACUUUGCUGAGAAUGCACACCAGUUGUUUCUGGAGAUGGUCAACAACAGAAUUCGUCUCAGCGGUCACACCUUCAAGUAUCAUCUAGAAGCAUGGACGAUAGCCUGCAAACCACAAAGGACUCUUGAAUUCUUGCAUUUCAUGAUAUUGUUUUUUAUAAAGGUAUACUUUCCAUGUAUUAUAAUAGUUUUGACACCAAAACAUAAUUUUGAAAAAUGAGAUCAGUUAGAAAACGUUGACAUAAUUCUUUUCCCAAAUUUUUAUGGUAAUUAUUUUCUUUUAGAGAGUAAGGUGAGAGUUCUGUUUUUUUCCUUAUUAUAU